rnacentral:lncRNA from 11 species
CUUAGUCUGUCCUAUAAGAAUCUAAAAGAUGCAUGGAUCUUCUCUACUCUCUUGGCGCUCCUUCAAGGAGCAGUGCUAAAGAACUGCCAAUUACCUUCAAAGGGACUCAAAAAGUUCAGAUGUGGUGCUGUGAUGGAGCGAGUAAAAAGAUUGUGGGAGAAGAAAUCCUUGAACAUGUAACAAAAUUUAAGGAGGAUUUUAGCUGGCUUUGUA